rnacentral:rRNA from 1 species
GAUGAACGCUGGCGGCGUGCCUAAUACAUGCAAGUCGAGCGAACAGACGAGGAGCUUGCUCCUCUGACGUUAGCGGCGGACGGGUGAGUAACACGUGGAUAACCUACCUAUAAGACUGGGAUAACUUCGGGAAACCGGAGCUAAUACCAGAUAAUAUAUUGAACCGCAUGGUUCAAUAGUGAAAGACGGUUUUGCUGUCACUUAUAGAUGGAUCCGCGCCGCAUUAGCUAGUUGGUAAGGUAACGGCUUACCAAGGCAACGAUGCGUAGCCGACCUGAGAGGGUGAUCGGCCACACUGGAACUGAGACACGGUCCAGACUCCUACGGGAGGCAGCAGUAGGGAAUCUUCCGCAAUGGGCGAAAGCUUGACGGAGCAACGCCGCGUGAGUGAUGAAGGUCUUCGGAUCGUAAAACUCUGUUAUUAGGGAAGAACAAAUGUGUAAGUAACUAUGCACGUCUUGACGGUACCUAAGCAGAAAGCCACGGCUAACUACGU